CAACACUUUCACUAAAAUUAAUUUGGCUCGUUUAAUUUUCAUAAAAUUUUGUCAAAGUAUAUACUUUGACCCCUUAACAAAAAUAUAAAAAUUUCAAAAAUUUUGAACCAACCGUUUUGUCAGAAAAAAUACACUGGUUAUAUAGCAGUUUGACAAACACCAAAUUUGAUCAUUGAGAAGCUUAAUAUUCCUUUUACAACACAACGUAAUUAAAACGUUUAGCUGAUUUUACAGAGUUAUCUCCCUGUAGUGUUAGGUACCACCUUAAUAGUACAAGAUAGAUGUGUUGAUUUGAUAUUGGAAGUGUGGUAUUUUCCCACAUUUACAAAUUGACACGGUUCUAGAGGUGUGCCUCUCUGGAGGUGUGCCUAUAUUGACAAAAGUUGUAAAAACAGAUAAUGGAUUUGUAAACAUUGAAUAGGAACAUUGUUUAGACAAACAAAUCAUGCAUAUUGCAUAUAAACAAAG
rnacentral:lncRNA from 1 species